GUGGGGAAUAUUGGACAAUGGGCGCAAGCCUGAUCCAGCCAUGCCGCGUGAGUGAUGAAGGCCUUAGGGUUGUAAAGCUCUUUCAGUGGGGACGAUAAUGACGGUACCCACAGAAGAAGCCCCGGCUAACUUCGUGCCAGCAGCCGCGGUAAUACGAAGGGGGCUAGCGUUGUUCGGAUUUACUGGGCGUAAAGCGCACGUAGGCGGAUCGUUAAGUCGGGGGUGAAAUCCUGGAGCUCAACUCCAGAACUGCCUUCGAUACUGGCGAUCUUGAGUCCGGAAGAGGUGAGUGGAACUCCUAGUGUAGAGGUGGAAUUCGUAGAUAUUAGGAAGAACACCAGUGGCGAAGGCGGCUCACUGGUCCGGUACUGACGCUGAGGUGCGAAAGCGUGGGGAGCAAACAGGAUUAGAAACCCUGGUAGUCC
rnacentral:rRNA from 1 species